AAUCAAAUUACCAGGAUUAUCUGCUCUGUGUAUGCAGUUGUCCCUCCCCUAUCUGCAUGCUAUAUAAAAAUGGUGCCAUAUUGUGACAUCCAAUUGCUGGAAAAGGAACAAUGCUGCCUGCUCAUGUCCUUUUUUCUGUGGACUAUAUGAUAUGGAAACUUCAAAAGAUGCGAAUGUCAUCCAUGAAAAGGAGACGGCGAUAUUGGGUGCAUCCCAUUACAUCAUGCCGAAUGACACGAGGUGUAUAUUCGACCCUUUAUCAAGAACUCCGAAAACACCCUGUCAAAUUUGCAGAAUAUCUCCGUGUAAGUGUCGCAAGCUUUGAUGACCUUUCCCGUUUACGUCGCCGAUUGAGACGGAAGGAUACGAAAUUUCACUCUGCGGUUUCUGGCUAGUGGUGAAAGUUUUUCCAGUCUUCAUUUUCAAUUUCGACUAGGGAAAUCUACAAUAUCUUACAUUGUUAAAGAUACCUGCCGGGCAAUUUGGAAUCUUCUGCGUGAAGAAUUUCUUCCCCAUCCUACUUGCCAACAGUGGAUCAGCAUAGCCGACAAGUUUUAUGAGGUGACACAGUUUCCCAAUUGUAUUGGUGCAGUGGAUGGGAAGCAUGUGAGGCUCUUGAAGCCCCCACGUAGUGGAUCCUCCUUUUUUAACUAUAAAAAGUAUUUUUCUGUGAUCCUAAUGGCAAUUGUUGAUGCAAAUUACAAAUUUGUGGCUGUUGAUAUUGGAGCUUUUGGACGAACAAAUGACUCGCGUGUUUUUAAAAAUUCUAAUAUGGGAAAAAGGCUGUACUCCGGAAACUUUGGUAUACCAGAGCCCAGGCCUUUACCAGGUACUACAAACCCUGCACUUCCAUUUGUUCUAGUCAGAGAUGAAGCUUUCCAAAUGUGUGGAAAUUUACUGAAGCCAUAUGCCAGCCGUGGUCUAGACUAUCGCAAAAGAGUGUUCAAUUACAGACUGACUCGAGCAAGAAGAAUGGUCGAGUGUGCUUUUGGCAUAUUGACUGCAAAAUGGCGAAUAUUCACUCGUCCAAUACAAUUGAAAACAGAUACUGUGGAUGAUGUCAUAAAAGCAUGUGUUGUGUUGCACAAUUAUGUACUGACCAAAGAGCCUUUGCCUACGGAGCCACUGUCAUUAAAUCCACCUGGAGAUCACAUAGAAACUGGCCCAAGAUCAACAGUUGCUGUGAGUCGCAUGCGCAAUCAAUUUGCAGAAUAUUUCAUUUCUUCAGCUGGAUCUGUGCAUUGGCAGGAGGAACAUAUUUGAACAAAUAUUCUCUAUUGUUUGUUACUGUUUGUUUAUUAAAUAUGUACAGUUUAAAGUUGUAAUUAGUUAUGUACAUAAUAGUUUAUUUUAUUGUUUCUUCUUAAUAUAUUGUUGUUUAUUGUUGAGUCAACCAUGAUGUAUCGGUCUACCUACAUUUAUUGCCUUGGAUUCAGCAAA